UACGGGGGGAGCAAGCGUUGUUCGGAUUUUCUGGGCGUAAAGGGCGCGUAGGCGGUCAGCACAGGUCAGUUGUGAAAUCUCCGGGCUUAACUCGGAAAGGUCAACUGAUACUGUGCGACUAGAGUGCAGAAGGGGCAACUGGAAUUCUCGGUGUAGCGGUGAAAUGCGUAGAUAUCGAGAGGAACACCUGCGGCGAAGGCGGGUUGCUGGGCUGACACUGACGCUGAUGCGCGAAAGCCAGGGGAGCGAACGGG
rnacentral:rRNA from 1 species